UACGUAGGUGGCGAGCGUUGUCCGGAUUUACUGGGCAUAAAGGGAGCGUAGGCGGGCUUUUAAGUGAGAUGUGAAAUACUCGGGCUCAACUUGAGUGCUGCAUUUCAAACUGGAAGUCUAGAGUGCAGGAGAGGAGAAUGGAAUUCCUAGUGUAGCGGUGAAAUGCGUAGAGAUUAGGAAGAACACCAGUGGCGAAGGCGAUUCUCUGGACUGUAACUGACGCUGAGGCUCGAAAGCGUGGGGAGCAAACAGG
rnacentral:rRNA from 1 species